GCCUUGAGCCCCUGCAGGACCGGAGAGCCGGAGGCAUUGACGUAGCCGCCGUUGGCCGGAGCCGGGCUGGGGCUCAGGCUGGAGGGACUGCCCAGGUUCCCGUUUUGCGAGCCCGGCAACGAGGCCGUGCUGUCCGGUGUGGGGCUGCAGGUGGACUCUUUGGACUCGUCGUCAUCCGACGAAGAUCUGAUCUCUCCGCCUUUCUUCCCUCCGGAGCUGCUGGUGGUGCCCCCUGUGCCGGAGCUGUUGGCUUUGGCGUUGGCGGCACGCUCCUGCUUGCGGAACUUGGCACGCCUGUUCUGAAACCACACCUGGUACACACACACACACACACACACCAGUGGGCGCCCCUUUAGAUGGAGGUCAUAUAGUUCAUGGAAUCCAGACUUUGGAAGACCUCUCACCUGUACUCUGGCUUCUGUCAGAUCUAUCUUCAGAGCGAGCUCCUCUCGGGUGUAAAUGUCCGGGUAGUGGGUCUCGGCGAAGACCCUCUCCAGUUCCUUCAGUUGAGAGCUGGUGAAGGUGGUCCGGAUGCGCCUCUGCUUCCGUUUCUCGUUCAGGCCCGAAGGGUCCGAGAAGAACUUAUAAGGGACUAUAUGAGGAGGAGAGUCAAUCCGUUUUAUUAUAUUGACAUGUUUGUAUUAUUUUUUUUUCCUAGAAUGUGCCUGUAAAUUUUGUAUACAUUUCUCUAUUGAGUCAAAAUAUGUAUUUAAUAUAUGUAAAAUGAUAUAAGGCAAUUGUAUUACUUUAAAUUAGUUGGUUAUCCUACUGUUCCAUCGCAAAAGAAUAACUCAUUGAUUUGAAUUUGUCAAUCAAGACUCCUCCGAGUCUUAAUGAAGGAUUCAAAGUCAUAAGAAGUUCUCAAAUUUGUUCAUUUUAAAUUUCAAUUUUCGCUGAUAUAUAGAUAACCAGGGCCUAAAAGAGGGAAACAAAAUAUUCUUGAUUUUUUUUAUUUGUUUUAUUUUUUUACAUUUUAAUAAACAUGUAGAUAUUGAUGUAAGAAAAAAAUGUAAUUGAAAUAGAAUCUCUACAGGCCUCAAAUAUAAGCAUCUGCCAUUGAAUGAACCGAUUGACGCGCGUUGUCUUUUGCAAAGUGUGGUCAAUUUCAUUUAUUUUUAAUUUUUUUUUUCUUCUUUCUACGUCCGAGGUAAUGUCUCCCUCCGCGUGUACCUGACGAGUACGGCGCGGGCUGGUGGUCGCGCAGGGCUCCCAGCGUGCAGCUGGCCGUGCUGAGCGGGGCGCAGGCCGGGUUGGAGAAGGGCCCGCCGCGGAUGGGGUUGUACUGGAACGAGCUGGCCUGGCUGCACGAGCUGAAGUCCGCGUAGGCCGACGCUUCCAUGGCGGCCAUGCAAGAGUCAUAGGAGUUCAGGAAGCUGGGUCGAUAUAAUUCAUGAUUGCAUGAAUCAGCUGCAGCAAUUUUCGGGCCCAUGAGGAGGCCGCCGUCCCUGUGGGUUCAAAGCUGGAUGAGGAAGGAGGAGGAGGACAGAGGGACGAGCAGGCUGCAAAUUCUGCGUUAAGAGCGGAGACACAAACGAUAAUAAGCACCUUGAACUCGCCUCCGUUUGUCCUGGCGGCAGAAGGUGGAUCCGAGCGAGCGAGUUCAGGAGGGAGCUUACGAGCAUGAUGGAGAGCCAGACUCGUCUUCAUCCUUGGGGAGGAUGAACGAUGCGCAUACACACGCACCUUAAAACCCAAAGUGCAAAACCUGAUCCACCAGCUACUUAAGACAAUGGGAAAUGUCUAUUGCUUACGCUUUUGCACCCGCAUUUUACACCAUAUUUCAUAGUGUCAUUCUCAUAGAGGCGACACUACAAUUACACACAUGCAGACGUUUUACAAAAAGUUCCAUCAUCAUCAGAAUAAUAUGAGAAAUGCAGAAAAUGAAUGGGUGGAUGUUGUAAUUCAAGUCAUUUUUAAUUUACUGUCACAACAUUCACUAAUAUUAAUCAGUGUAAAUUCUCAGUGAUCCAGGUCAUAGUAAUCCGCAAAAGUUAAAUUGAGGCAACUAGGCUCUUUUUUGUUGAAUUAUUAUUUUUUCUUUGUUUUCCAAAAACAUUCAAAAAUGACGUGGGCAAUUUUGCUACUGUGAUAAUGUUAGAAUAAAGUUGUAGAACAAGAGUAUUUAUUUUAUGAGAAUAGAGUCAAACAUUGCAAAUCAUUUUACAAGAACAAAGUCCAAAUGUCUUAUUACUGCAAAAAAAUUACAAAUAUUUUUGAAGUCUGAAUAAUACAAUGAAAAGGUGUGAGACGAAAAGCUGAAAUAUUGCAACUCAUACUUAGAAUGAAAACAGCAAUAUUUAAAUUUUUUUAUUUUACAAGAAAUUAGUCUGAAUUGUGUAAUAUAUACACACGAAGUUCUAGAGUGAUCAUGAGUCAAAAGUGCAGAAAACUAAACAAGUGCAACCUGAAAUAGAUGACAACAGAUCUCAGUGUUGUGUUUUUGGGGGGUCCGGGGAAUGAAUGCCUCCCCCCCCCCCUGCACGCUAAUUCUUCCCUAUGGAGAAGAAGACAUUCCUGCAGGGUGUGUGCGACGUUCUCUACACACCCAAAUUCCAAAGAAAUUCUCCUGUCACGUCAUCUCACAAGGUGGACAAGCGUCAUUGUCGUACGACUCCCACCCACCCGCACGCACACGCAUCCAUCAAGAGGCGUCAAUCAGGACACACACACAAAAACAGGCGGAAUUUACUUUUUGUUGCACUGACUUUUAUUUCCAUUGUGGAGGUUGGCGCACACACCAACAUGACAAACGUCACAUCUUGCUGGUUCAAACAGUCCCGAUCCAUCCAUUUGAGUGAAUAUUCUAAUCCAGUGUCGACAUAACGAUUCACGAUUAGCAUGCAUAAUAAGGAGCAAUUCACAUUUUAUAACAUAAUAAUUCAAGCGGAUUGAUUGACGUGAUUUCCGUUGUAUUGGAUGGUCGUGGACGACAGGCAGCCAAACCAGCUUUGGUUUUGAAAACAACCCUGCACAGUAGAUCACUCUUCAUCACAUUUAAAUAACAGCCAUCCUUCAGUUAUUAUUAUUAUUAUUAUUUAAAUGGCUUGAACAACCUCAGCUAACCCACAUUUGUGAGAAAAAGAAUCUUAUCAAUAUUUUAUAAACAUUUUAAUCAUCACUGUGGUCUAACAGCAGUGUGCUAUCUGAUGCUUCACAUUAAUGAGAUGUUGGCAAUGAAUGAAUAUGUACUACACUACUUGUACAACUCUGCUCUACGACGAGGUGAGGGUCUUACUCUUUUUGCUAGUACAGCGGCACCUUGACUCACAAGUUUGUUUUCCAUGACUAAGCUCGCAACUCAAAUUUGUUGUAAUCCAUUUUCCCCAUUGAAAUGCCAAUCAGUUUUUAAUAAAGAAAA